rnacentral:rRNA from 1 species
UACGGAAGGCAGCAGUGGGGAAUAUUGCACAAUGGGCGCAAGCCUGAUGCAGCCAUGCCGCGUGUAUGAAGAAGGCCUUCGGGUUGUAAAGUACUUUCAGUCGUGAGGAAGGUGUUAAGGUUAAUAACCUUAGCAAUUGACGUUAGCGACAGAAGAAGCACCGGCUAACUCCGUGCCAGCAGCCGCGGUAAUACGGAGGGUGCGAGCGUUAAUCGGAAUUACUGGGCGUAAAGGGCACGCAGGCGGUUAAUUAAGUUGGAUGUGAAAUCCCCGGGCUUAACCUGGGAAUGGCAUUCAAGACUGGUUAGCUAGAGUCUUGUAGAGGGGGUAGAAUUCCAUGUGUAGCGGUGAAAUGCGUAGAGAUGUGGAGGAAUACCGGUGGCGAAGGCGGCCCCUGGACAAAGACUGACGCUCAUGUGCGAAAGCGUGGGGAGUAAACAGGGAUUAGAUACC